CUAGUUUAUAAGACCGCUCGUAUGCGCGGUAGCAGACGGUUAAAAGCAUGUGGUGCAGCGGCUAGGGGGUGGCGUUGAGGCACUAAAGGCCUAGUUAAGGUGGCCUUAGCACCGAGGGGGUGUGAAAAAAGCAAUCCGGGGCUUUCUUGCCUAGGGGCCGUUGGAUAUCGCCGCCGCCUUCUUCCGCACCCAUGGCUUCCCCGCUACUGCUACCACAAGCACCGGCUCCUUCCCUCCGCCGUCGCCACUACCACCUCCGGCGCCGGCACCGAUGUUUCCCCAACCAGUACCACCUGUGCAGGCUCCGAUAGUAGCCCCGCCGUUGUUGAUACCGCCGGAACCACGCGCGUCAUUGAUGCCGCCGGCGCCGUCGUCUCCUCCUCCUCGGCGGGGGCUGUACGUGGUUCGGCGCCCCAGGGGGGAGAGGCUCUCGAUGGUGUAUCUCCGCCGGGUCGAGGCCCUCUUCAAGGUCCGCUACCUGCGCCCAACCACGGCGAUAUCUAGGUUGGCUGGCUGCUACCUCGUCGACAGCCGCAAGGAGGCGCGCCGUGGUCCCAGGUAGUGUGGAGGUCGUAGGAGGGGGGAGGGGGGUUCGGAACGGUCGGCAUCGGAGGGUCUAGGAGGAGAGUUACGUAGAGGUGAAGGGGAUGCUGCAGAGUCCGAAGUGCUAGAGGUGGUGCUACCCGCAGUGUUCGGGUUCCCUCGCGCAGCUCCGGUACCGCUACGACGAGGGGAAGGAUGGCAACAACGGCGCAAGGUGGUGAACGCCGUCGUUCGUUUACCGUGUCGGUCUCUUCGGCGGACGGCUCCUCCGUCGAGGUCGACGUCGUGACCUAUUCACUGGGGAGUCCCGUAUUCUGUUUCAAGAAAUCAAUGUGCCGACGUUGAAUUAAACAAAGGAAAGAUAAACACGACUAAAACUUAUGUCACAUCAUGUCUUGUGGGUGUUUUAGUAGUGUCCCUAAGUACUUGAGUGAAAGCUUACCUUCUUUACACAACAAGUUAACCGUAGUUGGGCUAGCUAGUGAACGGACUAUUUAGAGGACAGCAGACUUAGACCAAGGAGACGCCUAAUAAGACUACAAAUGUCGCAGCCUAAACCACGUCACCUUCCCCUCUGGCUCCUCCUUUACCGCUGGUUCUCCUCGCACCCGUGGGGACCCGGUGUUCCUGGAGUCCUCGUCUUACACAAGGAAGCACGGCUAGACUUGUAAGACGACCUGCUGCUGGCCUUGUAGUGGCUCCUGUUGGCGUAGGCGCGGAGGCACGGUAGCCACGGCAAGGAGUUCAAGGAGUACCCCUUCCGGCGGUUCCAGUAGGAUCGGUUGUUAGACACCGAGGACGGCGAACGGUGAGGAGUGAACGGCCGGGCAAGCGGUGAUCGGCAGCCGGGGACGGGCGGGCGGAGAGGACACCACGUGCCACGGGCUGGGCCGAGACAUACAGGCGGAGGGAGCACGACGAGCAACCAGCGGGGGUAGUAAGUCGGAGAACACACCGCGUGCCGACAUACGGACAUGGACGAACUACAGCCCUCGUUGUGGUGUCCUACCGGCACGGCGCGGAAGUAGAGUCUGGAGUGGCUGAAUCCUAACAUCCCUUUUCACACCUGAUACCUAAGUAUGGUCUUGACCUAACCGGUACCGUGCAGAAGUGGUUGAACAGUACCGCAGCCGUUGUUAUAAGUUCUAAAGAACAAAGGAAGUAAAAGUUCGUAGAGAGUAUGUCCGCUAUAUACGUCCAAGUAGUAAGUACGCUCCCUAUACUUUCUACUUUGUUUUCACUUUCCGCAAAUGCGGAUGUUUCCGUAAGAUGAUGAACGUCAAAGACAUCAAGUUAGUUUGUAAUGUUAAAAGUUUAAUAUAAACAAUACCAAUCUAUAUUUAAAAUUUUCAAAGCUCCAAGGUACUCUACUCUACUACCGAGUAAACACAGUAAAACUGUUUUCAGGGUGAUAUGCCAGUCUAGAACAUCAAGUUAAUCUAUUACGUUAAA
rnacentral:rRNA from 1 species